rnacentral:lncRNA from 1 species
CUAAAUAGCUGCAAAACAAAUGACCACAAAGUAAAGGAGUAAGAGAGCAGUAGAAGAUGAUGCCUUUUGAAUACAUGCAAAACCAAACAGGGAACAGCUACCAGCUGUCUUUUGUUCCCUCCAAGGACAAGAACAAAUAAAAACAAAACUCCUGGGAAUAAGGCAAGAAAAGUAAACUACAGUGGACCAUAUGAUUCAAGAUUCUUUAACUUACUACUAACAUGAUGAGUUAGUAUGAUUGAAAAAGAUCUGGCAUCUAGAACAGCUACAGAAGGUCUUGCAUACAGAAUAGCCUAUCUAAGAGCAUCCCUAGAGCCUAUUUCUGAGGAUGGCAGAGAGAAGAAUCUGGUCUAUGGAGGCAUCACUGAGCAAUGAAAUUAACCAAGUGUACAACUCAUUCUAUUUUUGGAAUGUUUGCUCCUUAAUUUCUCCCCUAGUUCUGCAUCACUGUUUUUCUUUUCGCUCUGAACUUUUUGUAGAGUUAGCUAAAAACAAUGUGCCUUUCUACCUGCUUUUUUUUUUUUUUUCUAAAGAUAUGACUUAUAUUCAACUUUUGACUUAAACUGGUCCUGGCUAAUAAAUUUAUCUUCUGACCUUGCCCUAGCAAGCUUUUCUGUUGGCUCCUGAUAGGGCUGAUUUGGGUCUACUUGAGGAUGUCCGGACUGCUCCGGAUACUUCAGGACCGUGGUUCCUAUUGGCCACAUACCAGGGACACCUCAUACCUACUUUUGUCCUGACUUUCUCCAACAUCCAUUAUUCUUAACAAUAUAAUGUGCUCUAUCACUAGUUAGAACUCAGG